UACGGAGGAUCCGAGCGUUAUCCGGAUUUAUUGGGCGUAAAGGGAGCGCAGGCGGUGACUUAAGUCUGAUGUGAAAGCCCACGGCUCAACCGUGGAAGGUCAUUGGAAACUGGGUCACUUGAAUAUAGAAGAGGAAAGUGGAAUUCCAUGUGUAGCGGUGAAAUGCGUAGAUAUAUGGAGGAACACCAGUGGCGAAGGCGACUUUCUGGUCUAUUAUUGACGCUGAGGCUCGAAAGCAUGGGUAGCAAACAGGAUUAGAUACCCGU
rnacentral:rRNA from 1 species